AUUGAACGCUGGCGGCAGGCCUAACACAUGCAAGUCGAACGAGUGGCGGACGGGUGAGUAAUGUCUGGGAAACUGCCCGCUGGAGGGGGAUAACUACUGGAAACGGUAGCUAAUACCGCAUACCAUCGGAUGUGCCCAGAUGGGAUUAGCUUGUUGGUGGGGUAAAGGCCUACCAAGGCGACGAUCCGUAACUGGUCUGAGAGGAUGAUCAGUCACACUGGAACUGAGACACGGUCCAGACUCCUACGGGAGGCAGCAGUGGGGAAUAUUGGACAAUGGGCGAAAGCCUGAUCCAGCCAUGCCGCGUGUAUGAAGAAGGCCUUCGGGUUGUAAAGUACUUUCAGCGGGGAGGCGUUACCCGCAGAAGAAGCACCGGCUAACUCCGUGCCAGCCGCCGCGGUAAUUC
rnacentral:rRNA from 1 species